UCCCUCUACUUCCCCCCCUCUUCUCCAUUCUCAGGACACUGAUGCCUUUGUUUGACCCUGACUCAGGCCUCCUCACAGUAUCUGGGAUGGGAGAUAGUGUCAUUGACUGCUUCGAGGUGUCUGCCACUGAACCAUUCCUUUCCCAAGUGAGCCACUGUCUGACGGACGCCCCAACGCGAGGCGUUGCCAUGGUACCCAAGUUGGCAUUGGAUGUCCUGUCCUGUGAGGUCAUGCGGGUCCUGCA